rnacentral:ncRNA from 1 species
UUGGUGCCUGGGGCUUUUGCCUCGGGUGAAAAGGGAACCGGGUGGGAAUCCCGGACAGACGGCGCUGCUGUGUGCCCCAAUAAUGUUCCCGCAUUUAACCACUGCGCCUUGCGCCCUGCUACAUGGGACGGCGUGGGAAGGGAAAGUGCAAGAAGGGUAGGGGCGAGUCAGAAGACCUGCCAAGUCGCA